GAUGAAGAACGCAGCGAAAUGGGAUACGUAAUGUGAAUUGCAGAUUUCAGUGAAUCAUCGAAUCUUUGAACGCACAUUGCGCCCGCUAGUAUUCUGGCGGGCAUGCCUGUUCGAGCGUCAUUUCAACCAUCAAGCCCUAGGCUUGCGUUGGAGCCCUGCGGCUGCCGCAGGCUCCCAAAUCCAGUGGCGGGCUCGUCGUCGUACCGAGUGCAGUAAACAUCCUCGCUCAGGGAACGUGACGGGUUCUUGCCGUGAAACCCCCCACAUAUCAAGGUUGACCUCGGAUCAGGCAGGAAUACCCGCUGAACUUAAGCAUAUCAAUAAGCGGAGGA
rnacentral:misc_RNA from 1 species